UACUGCCAUCGUCCUCCUGUCCUUAGUGU
rnacentral:piRNA from 1 species